CUUCAUCUUCACUAAUGUUUUUUUGGGGAGGAAACUUGGUAAACAAACUCUUUACAGAAGAGGAGCUACAGCAUGUGGGCUAGGCAGAAUGAUAAUGAAUAAUUCAGUAUGAUGGAUGAAUGAAAUGAUGGAUGGGGAGAGCUGAAAUUGUUAGUGAUGUUUUACCUGCCAUUGCCACAUACUUAGAUGUCUCCAGUGCUAAGUGGGAUAGCAAAUGUUGGCAAGCUAUGUUUCCUUGAUCAGGACUCUACAGGUCUAGAACAAAAGCUACAUCGGGUUUUUAUUUUUAUUUUUCCCUUCACCGUGAUGUCUAAUCUCUUCCCAUUCCCUUGCAUUUGACACAAACAAGGAUGUCUUUCAGUUACAGGACACUGGUCUGUGUGCUUGAGCUCUGGGCAUUUUUUCAGUACAUAACAUCAAACAAAAAUGGGUGUACAGCAGUCACAGAAACAUCAAAUACUUUUUUUUUUUUUUUUAAGGUGGUAGAAGAGUUGCAUCCCGUGAAGGCAUUUGUCUGGAAACAAGGAACGUCCACCAUCCUCCAAAUGUCCCAUUGGCCUUCUACUAGGCUGGUAGAACAGGAAGAGUAUUACAACUAGCUAAGAACUUCCCUAUACAUCAAACUCAACAUUUUCUUAGAACUUUUUAUCGUGCAAUCUUUUGUACUGUUAGAAGUUUAGCUCUAAUCUUCCAUGGGUGGAAAAAAUACCUAUUUAAAUCAGUUGAUCUCUCAAAGUGAUCAGAUGUGACUGUAACUUGACUACCUGAGAAACAGUCCUCAGUAGACGGUGGACCUCAAUUCUCUGUCUGUCAGAAACCUGGGGUUUAACUCAGCUGGCAUGGCAGGCUUUGGCUCAAUUUUUUGUGCUUUCCUGUAGUGAUAAAAUCCCUCCAUGAGUCCAUGAUACCAC
rnacentral:lncRNA from 1 species